rnacentral:rRNA from 1 species
UAGGGAAUCUUCGGCAAUGGACGAAAGUCUGACCGAGCAACGCCGCGUGAGUGAAGAAGGCUUUCGGAUCGUAAAACUCUGUUGUUAGAGAAGAACAAGGACGUUAGUAACUUAACGUCCCCUGACGGUAUCUAACCAGAAAGCCACGGCUAACUACGUGCCAGCAGCCGCGGUAAUACGUAGGUGGCAAGCGUUGUCCGGCAUUAUUGGGCGUAAAGCGAGCGCAGGCGGUUCCUUAAGUCUGAUGUGAAAGCCCCCGGCUCAACCGGGGAGGGUCAUUGGAAGCUGGGAGACUUGAGUGCAGAAGAGGAGAGUGGAAUUCCAUGUGUAGCGGUGAAAGGCGUAGAUAUAUGGAGGAACACCAGUGGCGAGGGCGGCUCUCUGGUCUGUAACUGACGCUGAGGCUCGAAAGCGUGGGGGGCAAACAGG